rnacentral:rRNA from 1 species
AUUGAACGCUGGCGGCAGGCCUAACCCAUGCAAGUCGAACGAGUGGCGGACGGGUGAGUAAUGUCUGGGAAACUGCCUGAUGGCGGGGGAUACCUACUGGAAACGGUAGCUAAUCCCGCAUACCAUCGGAUGUGCCCAGAUUGGAUUAGCUAGUAGGUGGGGUAAAGGCUCACCUAGGCGACGAUCCCUAGCUGGUCUGAGAGGAUGACCAGCCACACUGGAACUGAGACACGGUCCAGACUCCUACGGGAGGAAGCAGUGGGGAAUAUUGCACAAUGGGCGCAAGCCGGAUGCAGCCAGGCCGCGUGUGUGAAGAAGGCCUUCGGGUUGUAAAGCACUUUCAGCGGGGAGGCGUUACCCGCAGAAGAAGCACCGGCUAACUCCGUGCUAGCAGCCGCGGUAAUUC